rnacentral:rRNA from 1 species
UACGUAGGGGGCAAGCGUUGUCCGGAUUUAUUGGGCGUAAAGAGCUCGUAGGUGGUUCGGUAAGUCGGAUGUGAAAUCUCCAGGCUCAACCUGGAGGGGUCAUUCGAUACUGCCGUGACUAGAGUCCGGAAGAGGCGAGUGGAAUUCCUGGUGUAGCGGUGGAAUGCGCAGAUAUCAGGAGGAACACCGAUGGCGAAGGCAGCUCGCUGGGACGGUACUGACGCUGAGGCGCGAAAGCUAGGGGAGCGAACAGG